rnacentral:rRNA from 1 species
GAACGGGUGAGUAUCACGUGAGGAACCUGCCCUGAACUUCGGGAUAAGCCUGGGAAACUGGGUCUAAUACUGGAUAGGACAUCUCAUCGCAUGGUGGGGUGUGGAAAGCUUUUUGCGGUUUGGGAUGGUCUCGCGGCCUAUCAGCUGGUUGGUGGGGUAAUGGCUUACCAAGGCUUUGACGGGUAGCCGGCCUGAGAGGGUGACCGGCCACACUGGGACUGAGACACGGCCCAGACUCCUACGGGAGGCAGCAGUGGGGGAUAUUGCACAAUGGGCGCAAGCCUGAUGCAGCGACGCCGCGUGAGGGAUGACGGCCUUCGGGUUGUAAACCUCUUUCAGUUGGGAAGAAGCCCCUUUGUGGGUGACGGUACUUUCAGAAGAAGCACCGGCUAACUACGUGCCAGCAGCCGCGGUAAUACGUAGGGUGCGAGCGUUAUCCGGAAUUAUUGGGCGUAAAG